GGGGUUGUCAUGGUUUCGACAGGUUUAUGUUUGAUUCAGGCUGCAGUGGAGUGAUGACCUAAUCAUCAAUUAAAUUUAAACGCUAACAAUAACGUUAACUACGCUUUUGCCUAAGUCGUAACAAUUACGCAGCAUAGCACAGUCUUAUGAUCGGCCACUGAUCAUAAUUCGCACCUGGUAUGCCAGGACCACGUGGAUAGGGUGUUUCUAAUGUCUAUAGGAAAUGCAUGAAAAUGAAUAGGCAAAUUCAACGAAUGUGUGUUCACUGACUUGUUCGUUGUCUUAUCUAACAGUGAACUAAACUGUAGAAGCUUGAAUGUGGGACUACUCUUGGACACGGGUUCGACUCCCGUCAGCUCCACU
rnacentral:tmRNA from 1 species